GUGGAAGACAAUACCAUCACGGGGAAAAGAGGGCUGGACAUGAUGAUGCACACAGAGCAUGAAAGUGAAAGUGCAGAAGGAGAAAGCGGUCUGUGUUUUAACACUCAUCAUGAUCGUUUUUUGUGUUAGUGUCCUUCUCUUUCCCGUGUGUGGGUCAGUGUUAUUGGCUGGAUGGGUGCAGUCACCUGGACAUCCACGAGGGUAUGAUCCCCAUUCCAACCUGACUUGUGUGCUCCAACUGGACACAAAAUCACACUCACUCUAAUACAUUUGGACCUAGAAGAAAGCUUUGAGUGUGAGGAUGAUGCCUUAAAGUUAUUUGCAGAUGAGGUGCUUCUUUC